rnacentral:lncRNA from 1 species
UUGUCUAAAGAUCAUUCACUUCUUCAAGAGGAGAAAAAGAAAGUUCAAGAAGAGCUUGAAACAACCCUUCUAAGUACUAAUCUUCUCUCCAAGCUUGAAGCUGAGAAUGAAACUUUAAAAUAGACAAACACACAUCAUGCACAAAGAGAGUCUAAGCUAACCUCUAAAAUUGAGGAUCUAGAGAAGACUAUCUCUGCAUGGAACAGAUCCUCAUCAUCCAUGGACUGCCUAC